rnacentral:tRNA from 1 species
GUUUUAAUAAUUUAAAUUAAAAUAUUGGUCUUGUAAACCAAAAAUGAAAAAUCUUCUUAAAACU